rnacentral:rRNA from 1 species
GGGAUUGCCUUAGUAGCGGCGAGUGAAGCGGCAAAAGCUCAAAUUUGAAAUCUGGCGCCUUCGGUGUCCGAGUUGUAAUUUGAAGAUUGUAACCUUGGGGUUGGCUCUGGUCUAUGUUUCUUGGAACAGGACGUCACAGAGGGUGAGAAUCCCGUGCGAUGAGAUGCCCAAUUCUAUGUAAGGUGCUUUCGAAGAGUCGAGUUGUUUGGGAAUGCAGCUCUAAGUGGGUGGUAAAUUCCAUCUAAAGCUAAAUAUUGGCGAGAGACCGAUAGCGAACAAGUACAGUGAUGGAAAGAUGAAAAGAACUUUGAAAAGAGAGUGAAAAAGUACGUGAAAUUGUUGAAAGGGAAGGGUUUGAGAUCAGACUCGAUAUUUUGUGAGCCUUGCCUUCGUGGCGGGGUGACCCGCAGCUUAUCGGGCCAGCAUCGGUUUGGGCGGUAGGAUAAUGGCGUAGGAAUGUGACUUUACUUCGGUGAAGUGUUAUAGCCUGCGUUGAUGCUGCCUGCCUAGACCGAGGACUGCGAUUUUAUCAAGGAUGCUGGCAUAAUGAUCCCAAACCGCCCGUCUUGAA